UACGAGGGGUGCAAGCGUUAUUCGGAAUCAUUGGGCGUAAAGGGUGCGUAGACGGCUUGUUAAGUCAACUGUUAAAUUCUCCGGCCUAACUGGAGACCAGCAGUAGAAACUGAUAGGCUUGAGGUUGGAAGAGAGAAGUGGAAUUCUCGGAGUAGCGGUAAAAUGCGUAGAUCUCGAGAGGAACACCGAUGGCGAAGGCAGCUUCUUGGUCCAAAUCUGACGUUGAGGCACGAAAGCGUGGGGAGCAAACAGG
rnacentral:rRNA from 1 species